rnacentral:rRNA from 1 species
CCUCUAGAGAUAGAGUUUUCCCCUUCGGGGGACAGAGUGACAGGUGGUGCAUGGUUGUCGUCAGCUCGUGUCGUGAGAUGUUGGGUUAAGUCCCGCAACGAGCGCAACCCUUAAGCUUAGUUGCCAUCAUUAAGUUGGGCACUCUAAGUUGACUGCCGGUGACAAACCGGAGGAAGGUGGGGAUGACGUCAAAUCAUCAUGCCCCUUAUGAUUUGGGCUACACACGUGCUACAAUGGACAAUACAAAGGGCAGCGAAACCGCGAGGUCAAGCAAAUCCCAUAAAGUUGUUCUCAGUUCGGAUUGUAGUCUGCAACUCGACUAUAUGAAGCUGGAAUCGCUAGUAAUCGUAGAUCAGCAUGCUACGGUGAAUACGUUCCCGGGUCUUGUACACACCG